CAAGAUGCGGCUAUAAAUAUGUUGCCGACCACGUCAACAUCAUUACAGAGCCGCAUAGAGAUCGAAGAGUGAGAAGCGUUUUUGAAGAAGCUUUUGGAGCAAUAUGGACAAGCCACCAUGCAAGUGCGGAGAUCCCAAGUGCGUAUGUACCACACAGUGCAAGUGUGCCACUGGCGGAUGCCCUUGUGACAGGUGCAAGAAAUAGGAGCUGGCGCUGUGGAAGUAUCUGGUGCUUGAGCCAUGGAAGCUUCCAGAAGGCCUUAAACGUGGGAAGACACGGCAAAAAAAAAAUUAUAUGUCGGAGGCGUUCUCCUUUUUGAGAGCAAAUAAAAAA